GUCAGCAGUCAUAUCACUCUGCAACUCACAACUGGCAACCCACUGAAGCCAAGCAGGUAUGAGCCUGGUCAGCACCUGGAUGGGAGACCUCCUGGGAAAAACUAAGGUUGCUGCUGGAA
rfam:Lepisosteus oculatus linkage group LG25, whole genome shotgun sequence.